AAAGAUCCCAUGGUACUCAUCGUAAGAGUAGGGGUGUUAACCCCGGUGUCCUGACUCUCUGUGGUCACUAAAGAUCCCAUGGUACUCAUCGUAAGAGUAGGGGUGUGAACCCCGGUGUCCUGACUCUCCAUGGUCACUAAAGAUCCCAUGGUUCUCAUCGUAAGAGUAGGGGUGUUAACCCAGGUGUCCUGGCUCUCUGUGGUCACUAAAGAUCCCAUGGUACUCAUCGUAAGAGUAGGGGUGUUAACCCCGGUGUCCUGGCUCUCCGUGGUCACUAAAGAUCCCAUGGUACUCAUCGUAAGAGUAGGGGUGUUAACCCCGGUGUCCUGGCUCUCUGUGGUCACUAAAGAUCCCAUGGUACUCAUCGUAAGAGUAGGGGUGUUAACCCGGGUGUCCUGACUCUCUGUGGUCACUAAAGAUCCCAUGGUACUCAUCGUAAGAGUAGGGGUGUUAACCCCGGUGUCCUGGCUCUCCGUGGUCACUAAAGAUCCCAUGGUACUCAUCGUAAGAGUAGGGGUGUUAACCCCGGUGUCCUGGCUCUCCAUGGUCAC